CCAGACUCCUACGGGAGGCAGCAGUGGGGAAUAUUGCACAAUGGGGGAAACCCUGAUGCAGCGACGCCGCGUGAGUGAAGAAGUAUUUCGGUAUGUAAAGCUCUAUCAGCAGGGAAGAAAAUGACGGUACCUGAUUAAGAAGCCCCGGCUAACUACGUGCCAGCAGCCGCGGUAAUACGUAGGGGGCAAGCGUUAUCCGGAUUUACUGGGUGUAAAGGGAGCGUAGACGGCAGCACAAGUCUGGAGUGAAAUGCCGGGCUUAACCCCGGAACUGCUUUGGAAACUGUGCAGCUAGAGUGCAGGAGAGGUAAGUGGAAUUCCUAGUGUAGCGGUGAAAUGCGUAGAUAUUAGGAGGAACACCAGUAGCGAAGGCGGCUUACUGGACUGUAACUGACGUUGAGGCUCGAAAGCGUGGGGAGCAAACAGGAUUAGAUACCCUCGUAAUG
rnacentral:rRNA from 1 species